UUAGAUACCCUUGUAGUCCACGCCGUAAACGAUGAAUGCUAAGUGUUGGAGGGUUUCCGCCCUUCAGUGCUGCAGCUAACGCAAUAAGCAUUCCGCCUGGGGAGUACGACCGCAAGGUUGAAACUCAAAGGAAUUGACGGGGGCCCGCACAAGCGGUGGAGCAUGUGGUUUAAUUCGAAGCAACGCGAAGAACCUUACCAGGUCUUGACAUCUUUUGACAAUCCUAGAGAUAGGACUUUCCCUUCGGGGACAAAAUGACAGGUGGUGCAUGGUUGUCGUCAGCUCGUGUCGUGAGAUGUUGGGUUAAGUCCCGCAACGAGCGCAACCCUUAUUGUUAGUUGCCAGCAUUAAGUUGGGCACUCUAGCAAGACUGCCGGUGACAAACCGGAGGAAGGUGGGGAUGACGUCAAAUCAUCAUGCCCCUUAUGACCUGNGCUACACACUUGCUACAAUGGACGGUACAACGAGUCGCAAGACCGCGAGGUUUAGCAAAUCUCUUAAAGCCGUUCUCAGUUCGGAUUGUACGCUGCAACUCGCCUACCUGAAGUCGGAAUCGCUAGUAAUCGCGGAUCCGCCUGCCGCGGUGAAUACGUUCCCGGGGCCUUGCUCACACCGGCCGUUACACCUUGAGAGUUUGUUACCUCCUCAAGCCGGUGGGGUCACCCUUUUGGAUUCCCCCCGUUUCUGCGGGCGCCCCAUGCUUUUGGCGGCAUGUGCUCUCCUCGUACACCAACCAUCAGNCAAACGGCUGGU
rnacentral:rRNA from 1 species